AUUGAACGCUGGCGGCGUGCUUAACACAUGCAAGUCGUGCGGUAACAGGCGUAGCAAUACGUGCUGACGAGCGGCGAACGGGUGCGUAAUACAUGGGAAUCUGCCCUUUAGUGGGGAAUAACCCGGCGAAAGCCGGGCUAAUGCCGCAUAAGAUCUUCGGAUGAAAGCGGGGGAUCGUAAGACCUCGCGCUGAUGGAUGAGCCCAUGCCGGAUUAGCAGUUGGUGAGGUAACGGCUCACCAAGGCGACGAUCCGUAGCUGGUCUGAGAGGACGGCCAGCCACACUGGGACUGAGACACGGCCCAGACUCCUACGGGAGGCAGCAGUGGGGAAUAUUGGACAAUGGGGAAACCCUGAUCCAGCGACGCCGCGUGUGUGAAGAAGGCCUGCGGGUUGUAAAGC
rnacentral:rRNA from 1 species